rnacentral:lncRNA from 1 species
AACUACAUACAUUUGAGAAAUAGUCAUGUCUAUAUAUGCGGGAGAGUCAGAGUGGCCGCUGAGUACUGGAGAAUGCUUGCUGCAAGUGUGGUUCAAGAACUCCUGGCUGUAACUGUAUAGCAGAGACCCCAGAGCUUCAUGGCCUCCAGAUUGGGAACCACUGGGGUAUACAUUCGACACAAUCCUUGCAAUUAGAAUGCUGUGAAGUGUCAUCAUCCUCAUGAGGAAACGGUGAGUGAAGGUCCUUAUGGAAAUGGAGGAAGGGGUCAAGCUUUGCAUUUGCAACAACAGAUAAACAAAAUAUGAUAUAUCCUUAUGAUGGAAAGUUAUUCAGCCAUGAAAAGGAGUGAAGGACUGACACACAGCUACAACAUGGAUGGACCUUGAAGCAUUAUGCUAAAUGAAAGAAGUCAGACACAAAAGGCUACGUAUCCUGUGAUUCCACUCAUAUGAAAUAUACAGAAUAAGCAAAUCCAUAGAGAAAGAAAGCAGACUAGUGGUUGCCAGGAGCUGUGAGGAGGAGAGGAAUGGGGAGUGGCUGCCAAAUAGUUAUGAGGUUUUCAUGUGGAGUGAUGGAAAAUUCUGGAACUAGAUAAUGCUGGUGGUUGCACAACAUUGUCCAUAUAGUUGAUACCACUGAACUGUAUGCUUUAAAAGUGGUAAAUUUUAUGUGAUGUGUAUUUUACCACAGUUUAAAACAAAAAUAGCAACAAUAGCCCACAUGGAAACAGGGUCCCAGAGGCAAGGUGACCAUUCGGAAAGAGCCUCCUGGGAGCAUGUAGACACAGGUGGGAGCACUUUGGAAUUUCCUCAGGCCUGGAGUGAGAGUUCAAACCGUGGUCUCAUGAGACUGGGCUGUCCUCUGGCCCAUGUGGACAUUGAUAUAAAGGACAUGUAAUGUUGUAUGAGGAUCCACCACAACCUGUGAUUAAUGAAGGGAGCCUGUUCACCUUGAGCCUUGGGUCUAGGCAGUGUAAAACACCAGCAGGUCACCUCUCCUCAUCCC